rnacentral:rRNA from 1 species
CGGAGGGAAACCGAGUCUUAAUUGGGCGUUAAGUUGCAGGGUAUAGACCCGAAACCCGGUGAUCUAGCCAUGGGCAGGUUGAAGGUUGGGUAACACUAACUGGAGGACCGAACCGACUAAUGUUGAAAAAUUAGCGGAUGACCUGUGGCUGGGGGUGAAAGGCCAAUCAAACCGGGAGAUAGCUGGUUCUCCCCGAAAGCUAUUUAGGUAGCGCCUCGUGAAUUCAUCUCCGGGGGUAGAGCACUGUUUCGGCUAGGGGGCCAUCCCGGCUUACCAACCCGAUGCAAACUGCGAAUACCGGAGAAUGUUAUCACGGGAGACACACGGCGGGUGCUAACGUCCGUCGUGAAGAGGGAAACAACCCAGACCGCCAGCUAAGGUCCCAAAGUCAUGGUUAAGUGGGAAACGAUGUGGGAAGGCCCAGACAGCCAGGAUGUUGGCUUAGAAGCAGCCAUCAUUUAAAGAAAGCGUAAUAGCUCACUGGUCGAGUCGGCCUGCGCGGAAGAUGUAACGGGGCUAAACCAUGCACCGAAGCUGCGGCAGCGACGCUGAUGCGUUGUUGGGUAGGGGAGCGUUCUGUAAGCCUG